CCGGUGCAACUCGUCCAGUUGAACUCGCAGCGGUUGAUCGGUAACGAUUAAAAACAAACAGGUGUGUGCGAUGACAAACACCAGGAUGCAAAGGACAGCAGCGGUGAAGCCUGGCCAGGCUCUGCUCAGACCUCCUUGAUGCUCAAGUAUGACUGAAAUGAAAUAAAAGGAGUGGUUCGACUGCUGCCGAAUGCAGAAGUCUGUCAUGACGAAGUCUCUGGUAGUUGAAAGCCCCUCCUGGAGCUGCCACCUUACCACGCUGGAGGGGUUUGCGUGUUCCAAUGAUCCCAGGAGCUAUGUUGUUGGAGGCUUCGUGCCCCUGGUAGGGUCACCCAUGGCAAUCAGGUCCUAGGUGAGGGUGCAGAAAAGGAAAACUCAACCCCAAUGAGCCAUGUCUCCCUUGCCCGGACAAGGGUCACCGGGGCCCCCAACCUGGAGCCAGGCCUGGGGGAGGGGCUCGUUGGCGAGCGCCUGGUGGCCGGGCCUUCACCCAUGGGGCCUGGCCGGGCACAGCCCGAAAGGGUGACAUGGAUCCACCACCCAUGAGAGGGGUCGCAGGGGGCAUGUGCUGAGAGAGUUGGGCGACAGUCAGAGGCGCGGAGGGAAUUCUGGGCUUCCCUGCUGAAGCUGCUGCCCCUGCGACCCGACCUCGGAUAAGCGGGAGAAGACGAACGGACGUUCUUCACAGCUUCCAUUCGGCCUCUGUGAAGAGAGUCGAGUGGUGAUCACGUGGAUCCAUGUUGAAACCAGUGUAUACUGUAAACAUCAGGGUGUCGGCAACAUGACUGUAGAGUUGUAGACUGUCAUCCACUGUGACCGGUUGAGUUAAAGAUGGAGAGACAAAUGUACACUUGAAAUAAACAUCACUGUUGAAAUAAACAUCACUGUUGAAAUAAACAUCACUGUAAACAUG